rnacentral:rRNA from 1 species
CCUACGGGCGACUGCAGUGGGGAAUAUUGCACAAUGGGGGGAACCCUGAUCCAGCGACGCCGCGUGGGUGAAGGAGCGUUUCGGCACGUAAAGCCCUAUCGGCAGGGAAGAAAAUGACGGUACCUGACCAAGAAGCCCCGGCUAACUACGUGCCAGCAGCCGCGGUAAUACGUAGGGGGCAAGCGUUAUCCGGAUUUACUGGGUGUAAAGGGGGCGUAGACGGUAAUGCAAGUCUGGAGUUAAAGUCCGGGGCCCAACCCCGGGACUGCUGUUGAAACUGGAUGGCUGGAGUACAGGAGGGGUAAGCGGAAUUGCUAGUGUAGCGGUGAAAUGCGUAGAUAUUAGGAGGAACACCGGUGGCGAAGGCGGCCUGCUGGACUGUAACUGACGUUGAGGCACGAAGGCGUGGGGAGCAAACAGGAUUAGAUACCCGUGUAGUC